UACAUUUCUACAUUAUUACAUGAUUUUUUGCCAGCUAUAACAAAAAUAAUAUGGUACUAAGUGUCCGGAUUUCGAAUUAUGACGUUAGUUCCCCGUACCUCUUGGUUGUCCAUAAUCAAGGUUGGCAAUCGGGACACAACAGCGAUUAAGAGUUUUUUGCAAAUGUUAUCAACAAAUAAAGGCGCGCAACAGGAUGUUGUUAUCGAAUGUGGGUAAAAUGUGAAUUGUGGCGUCACUUCAGUGCACUUUUAGACAUGGUACUAGGCCGAGAUGGCUACGUUUAGUUUGCAAGCGUUUGAAUGCGAAGAAACCACUUUCGAGGAUUUAUCACUAGGGGUGUUCGGAAAUAAACUGAGGCAAAUCUGCCUUCGCAAAGUCGAACCCAAGCAGUUGACAGAAAUUUGCCAGAGGUUCCCGUACAUAGAAACGUUGAAAAUACUUGACACUGCGCUGUCAAAUGAGGACCAGGUAACAAUCGCAAAUAACCUGACACAACUGGAAACCCUCCAAAUUACAAUUCAGCAGAGAGAAUUCCAGGAUAUAACAUUCGUAGAAGAGCUACCGAAAUUGAAACACCUUAAGUUAAAAUCAGAUGGAAGUUACGGCUCGACAGGUGGAUACAACUGGCUGAAUUUUUAUGAACCAAAGCAUUGUAAUUUGGAAGAACUUAAUUUAGAAAACUUUUCACAAAGUAAAUUAAGUUUUAAUUCUUUUGAUUGGUUCGCUAAAUUCCCACAUCUGCAAUGCGUAACGUUGACGGACUGUUUUGUAGACGGUUGGUUCAAUGUUGUCAAUCAGCUUAGUAAACUGAGGAUGCUUCGCUAUUUAGAAAUGAAUAAUGUGUCAUCACGUACAGCAGAAGUAAAUGUUGUGACAAAUAGAUUUUUUAAUCUUGAAGUUUUAAAAAUUAAAAAGUGUAAUUUUCCAAUUGACAUAUUGUCCACGUUUCUGAGGCAGUGUUCACAAAUUUUAAAUAGCGUUUAUUUGCUGGAAAAUGUUAUUCUUUUAACCGAUCCAAAUUUAACACUUGAAGGUUUGCUGCAAAAUAGGAUUCAAUAUUUUGGUGACUUUUUAUUGAAUGAAACUCAGGUUUCUUCAGAUUCAUCAUUGGAGAGCAUCAGUGUUGUUUUAAACAAACCAGAGGGAAGUAUGCAGAACUAUUAGAUUAAACCAUAGACUAUGGAUUAAACUUUGUUAUAAUUAUUUUACACAGUUUUUAAAAAUGUGUAGGGUGUUGGUGAUAAAUAAAAAUAAAUUAAUUUUAAAAGUU